rnacentral:rRNA from 1 species
UACGCAGUUCGUUUUGCAGCGCUUAUUGCGCGGCGAAAACCUUACACACUAUGUUUUUUUAAUUUGAAACUAUUGCUUUGGUCUGGCUUAGAAAUAGGUUGGGCCAAAGGUUUUAUCAAAACUUCAAUAUUUAUUAUUGAAUUGUUAUUUUUAAUUUUAUGUCAAUUUGUUGAUUAAUAUCAAAAAUCUUCAAAACUUUCAACAACGGAUCUCUUGGUUCUCGCAUCGAUGAAGAACGCAGCGAAAUGCGAUAAGUAAUAUGAAUUGCAGAUUUUCGUGAAUCAUCGAAUCUUUGAACGCACAUUGCGCCCUUUGGUAUUCCAAAGGGCAUGCCUGUUUGAGCGUCAUUUCUCUCUCAAAUCUUCGGAUUUGGUUUUGAGUGAUACUCUUAGUCAGACUAAGCGUUUGCUUGAAAUGUAUUGGCAUGAGUGGUACUAGAUAGUGCUGAACUGUUUUCAAUGUAUUAGGUUUAUCCAACUCAUUGACCAGUAAAGUAUUUGUUUAUUACACAGGCUCGGCCUUACAACAACAAACAAAGUUUGACCUCAAAUCAGGUAGGACUACCCGCUGAACUUAAGCAUAUCAAGCCGGGAGGGAG